rnacentral:rRNA from 1 species
AAAAAAAAGAGUUUGAUCGUGGCUCAGAAUCAACGCUGGCGGCGUGCCUCAGACAUGCAAGUCGAACGAUUAAACUUUCCUUCGGGAAAGAUAUAAAGUGGCGCACGGGUGAGUAACACGUAAGUAAUCUACCUUCGAGUGGGGAAUAACGUCCGGAAACGGACGCUAAUACCGCAUAAUGCAGCGGCACCUAAUGGUGACAGUUGUUAAAGAUUUAUUCGCUUGAAGAGGAGCUUGCGGCAGAUUAGCUAGUUGGUAAGGUAACGGCUUACCAAGGCUACGAUCUGUAACCGGUCUAAGAGGACGGUCGGUCACACUGACACUGAAUAACGGGUCAGACUCCUACGGGAGGCAGCAGUCGGGAAUUCUGGGCAAUGGGCGAAAGCCUGACCCAGCAACGCCGCGUGAAGGAUGAAGUAUUUCGGUAUGUAAACUUCGAAAGAAUGGAAGAAUCAAUGACGGUACCAUUUAUAAGCUCCGGCUAACUACGUGCCAGCCGCCGCAGUAAC